GAGACAGGGUCUCUCUAUGUUGCCCAGGCUGGUCUGGAACUCCUCACCUCAAGUGAUCCUCCCACCUCAGCCUCUCAAAGUGCUGGGAUUCCAGGUGUGAGCCACAACACCUGGCCAAGAAUACCACUUUUGAAGUUAAUCCUUUUGUGUGAUACAGGAUGAACUUGGGAUGUUUGAACCCUGGACAUUCCAAAUAAAGGACAGGCCCCUGCCCGGCUCCUGGGAGAUAACCUCUAAGCCAUUAGAAUAUCCUGCCUGAUAAGAGUGUUUUUGUUUACCUGUGGGCCUUGGGCCAUGCAGUAUUAGCUUGACCUUGCAAGGUCAAGCUGAGGAGACUAAGUCAGCCAUGUGGGCAGUGAAGCAUGCCUAUGUGACCAAUCCCCAGUAAAAGCCCUAGACACCAAGGCAUGGGUGAGCUACCCUGGUUGGUAAUACUCUGUGCACACAUCAUUGUGUCCACACAUCAUUGCUGGGAGAAUUAAGCAUUAUCCUGAAGACUCUGCCAGGAGAGGAUAAUUGGAAGUUCUCUUGGACCUUGCCUCCUGUGCCUUUCUUCAUUGCUGAUUUUAAUCUGUAGCCUUUCACUGUAAUAAACUGUAACCAUGAGU